UUUCCUUUUUUUCCCGCGGCCUCCCUUGGGCCGAAACAGGGGAAGACCGUGAGGUCCCCCCCUCCAAUGACCCAGGCUCUGACGAGGUGGGUGGCUUCAUCGGAGGUCAGGCAACGAUGGCCGACCAUGCGAAGCCGGCCGGCGACGGAGUUCGGCCGGCAAGCUUUCCUUCUUUUUUUUUUCCUCGAAAAAUAGGGGAUCCACCCCUUUUCUUUUAUUUUUCGAUCAUUGGCCGGUCACCGGCGGCCAAGACCUUCAGGGAAGAGGGAUAGAGAGAUGAGGGUCCGGUCUCGGGGAUGAGACGCCGCAACCGUCGGCGCCGGUGACUGGAAAAGAGAGGAAAGGGUUCCGGUCGAACAGGGGUUUCCUGUUUCAUGAAAUUUUCGGCGAUCCCGACGGCCGGCGAGGAGUCUAAAACCAUGGGAGGAAAGAGAAGAGGGAGAGGAAGAAAGAUUGAACCCUCACCUGAACUCCGGUGGCCUCUUCGAUCUUCGAUUUCCGACGAAUACAAGAAGAGGGUGCCGUGGCUUCCAAGGGAAAAAGAGGAGGAAUCAAGCUUGAAGAUCGCCCGGUGGAGGUUUGAGAGGGAGAGGGAAGGCUUAUUUAUAGAGGAUCCUAGAGUUUUAAGACUACUAGAACUCUUUUCCGAUC
rnacentral:lncRNA from 1 species